rnacentral:lncRNA from 1 species
CCUAAAUAUCUAUGCUCCAAAUGCAAGGAAUUUGAACCUACGAAUCAAUUCAUAAAAGAAACCUUACUAAGCUCAAAUAAGACAUUGCACCUCCCACAAUAAUACUGGGAGAUAUCAAUAGCCCUCCUUCAUGAAAGUACAGAUCAUAGAAUCAGAAACCAAACAGAGAAAUAGAAAAACUAAUGGAAGUUAUGAUCAAAUAAAUUUAGCAUAUAUUUAUAGAACACUUCAUCCAAAUCCAAAACAACAUACCUGCCUCUCAGCACCUGAUGGUACUUUCUCCACAAAUGAACAUAUAAUUGUUCACAAAAUAGGCCUUAACAUAUACAAGAAGAUUGAAAUAAUCUCAUGCAUCCUAUCAAAUAACCACAGAUUAAAGCCUGUCUUCAAUAACAACAAAAACAACAGAAA